AACGAACGCUGGCGGCAUGCCUAACACAUGCAAGUCGAACGAGACCUUCGGGUCUAGUGGCGCACGGGUGCGUAACGCGUGGGAACCUGCCCUUAGGUUCGGAAUAACUCCCCGAAAGGGGUGCUAAUACCGGAUAAUGUCUUCGGACCAAGGAUUUAUCGCCCUUGUAUGGGCCCGCGUUGGAUUAGCUAGUUGGUAGGGUAAACGCCUACCAAGGCGACGAUCCAUAGCUGGUCUGAGAGGAUGAUCAGCCACACUGGGACUGAGACACGGCCCAGACUCCUACGGGAAGCAGCAGUGGGGAAUAUUGGACCAUGGGCGAAAGCCGGAUCCAGCAAUGCCGCGUGAGUGAUGAAGGCCUUAGGGUUGUAAAGCUCUUUUACCCGGGAUGAUAAUGACAGUACCGGGAGAAUAAGCUCGGGCUAACUCCGUG
rnacentral:rRNA from 1 species